UACAGAGGUCCCAAGCGUUGUUCGGAUUCACUGGGCGUAAAGGGUGCGUAGGCGGUUGGAUAAGUCUGACGUGAAAUACUGGAGCUUAACUCCGGAACGGCGUCGGAUACUAUUCAGCUAGAGGAUUGGAGGGGGGACUGGAAUUCUCGGUGUAGCAGUGAAAUGCGUAGAUAUCGAGAGGAACACCCGUGGCGAAGGCGAGUCCCUAGACAAUUCCUGACGCUGAGGCACGAAAGCUAGGGGAGCAAACAGG
rnacentral:rRNA from 1 species